rnacentral:rRNA from 1 species
ACACGCAUGACACACUGCAUAUCAAUAAGCGGAGGAAAAGAAACUAACAAGGAUUCCCCUAGUAACGGCGAGUGAAGCGGGAAGAGCUCAAAUUUGAAAUCUUAAAGGGUUUCCCUUUACGAAUUGUAGUUUAAAGAAGUGUUUUCUGUUGGAGUUUCGGUAAAAGUUCUUUGGAAUAGGACAUCAUAGAGGGUGAGAAUCCCGUAUUUGACCGUUACUUUCCAGCUGUGUGAUACACUUUCAAAGAGUCGGAUUGUUUGGGAAUGCAGUCCAAAAUGGGUGGUAAAUUUCAUCUAAAGCUAAAUAUUGGCGAGAGACCGAUAGCGAACAAGUACCGUGAGGGAAAGAUGAAAAGAACUUUGAAAAGAGAGUUAAACAGUACGUGAAAUUGUCAAAAGGGAAGCGUUUGACACCAGUGUUGUUUUUCCGAAAAUCAAUUACGAAUGUUUUAUUUUUGAGGAGUUAUGACUUCAUCGGCUUGCUCCUUUCUUUAUGAAACUUUCUUAAUGCACUUUUCGGUUAACAAGUCAACAUCAAUUUCUUUUGUUGUAAAAGGGUAUGAGGAAGGUGGCUUUCUUUUCGGAGAAAGUGUUUAUAGCCUUGUGCCUCUGCAAUCGGAGAGAUUGAGGUCUGCAGCGUAGAUCCUUCGGGGUUAGAUACAUUGGUGCUAAGCUAUAGCCUUGUAUAGACAACUUGUUGACUAUGUUUAAGUCAUGUAGCUUACUCGUGAGUGCUAUUUUACCUACGCUUAGGAUGUUGAGCGCAUGUCUCUCUCU